GGACUACCGGGGUUUCUAAUCCUGUUUGCUCCCCUAGCUUUCGCGCCUCAGCGUCGGUUAUGGUCCAGGAAGCCGCCUUCGUCGCUGGUGUUCCUCCCGAUCUCUACGCAUUUCACCGCUACACCGGGAAUUCCACUUCCCUAUCCCAUACCCAAAGCGCGGCAGUUUUCGAUGACCCCUCCCAGUUGAGCCGGGAGAUUUCACACCGAACACACCGCACCGCCUACGCGCUCUUUACGCCCAGUAAUUCCGAACAACGCUGGCCCCCUACGUAUUACCGCGGCGGCUGGCAC
rnacentral:rRNA from 1 species